UAAAAUGGAUAUCCAAAUUCUUGUACAAAUUUACAUUUGUCAUACAUAUAUUACAAAACAGAGAACCCAUGGAUAUAUUUUCUCCAUUUGUCUAGAUCCUUGUUGAGAGGCAACUGUCAUUUAAAACUGAACAGCAAGCAACUGCUUCAAGAACAACAGCAGAGGACCAAGAAUGUGUGUGAACAAGUACAGAUGGCUUUUAACAUUGUGCUUUGAAGAUGUUGUAAGGCAUAGCCAGAUUUUUACUCAAUAAAAGGUCAAGAAGCCAAAAAAAAAAAGUGUACAUUGUAAUUUAAUAAAAGAAAGAAACCUGCAGAAGUGAACUGAACAAAGUUAUAUAGGUCAACAACUAUGAUUAUUUACAAACAUGCAAUUAUUCAGACUUAAAAUAGAAUCCAUAUGUCAAACAUUGAUUGGCAGAGGAUGUACAUGUUUAUUUUUGGGAUCAACUUGCACUUUCAAAAGGUUUCAGAUCAAGGACAAUGUGACACAUUACAACAGCCACAAUUCUUGUUUGCUUGCAGCAGCAACAAAAAAAAAAAAAUAACAACCAAAGGUUUGAACUGUAGGGCCAUGGUUGCAGAGAGCUACUUUGAAUGAGAGUGCGUUUUGAAAACACUAUCUUGAGUGAGGCUCACCGCCAGGGGGGGGGGAGAAGGUGUACAAAUAGGACACUAGUAGUUCGGGGGCCCUUUUUUAUGCAACUUGCAUAUGUAUAAGUAUUUGACAUGUGGGGGGGGGG